AUUGAACGCUGGCGGCAGGCCUAACACAUGCAAGUCGAGCGGAUGAAGGGAGCUUGCUCCUGGAUUCAGCGGCGGACGGGUGAGUAAUGCCUAGGAAUCUGCCUGGUAGUGGGGGAUAACGUCCGGAAACGGGCGCUAAUACCGCAUACGUCCUGAGGGAGAAAGUGGGGGAUCUUCGGACCUCACGCUAUCAGAUGAGCCUAGGUCGGAUUAGCUAGUUGGUGGGGUAAAGGCCUACCAAGGCGACGAUCCGUAACUGGUCUGAGAGGAUGAUCAGUCACACUGGAACUGAGACACGGUCCAGACUCCUACGGGAGGCAGCAGUGGGGAAUAUUGGACAAUGGGCGAAAGCCUGAUCCAGCCAUGCCGCGUGUGUGAAGAAGGUCUUCGGAGUGUAAAGCACUUUAAGUUGGGAGGAAGGGCAGUAAGUUAAUACCUUGCUGUUUUGACGUUACCAACAGAAUAAGCACCGGCUAACUUCGUG
rnacentral:rRNA from 1 species